rnacentral:rRNA from 1 species
GACCUACGGGAGGCAGCAGUGGGGAAUAUUGCACAAUGGGGGAAACCCUGAUGCAGCAACGCCGCGUGGGUGAAGAAGUAUUUCGGUAUGUAAAGCCCUAUCAGCAGGGAAGAGAAUGACGGUACCUGACUAAGAAGCCCCGGCUAACUACGUGCCAGCAGCUGCGGUAAUACGUAGGGGGCAAGCGUUAUCCGGAUUUACUGGGUGUAAAGGGAGCGUAGACGGUAUGGCAAGUCUGAAGUGAAAGCCCAGGGCUUAACCCUGGGAC